rnacentral:rRNA from 1 species
GAAGCCGGAAUUGCUAGUAAUGGCAGGUCAGCAUACUGCCGUGAAUACGUUCCCGGGCCUUGUACACACCGCCCGUCACACCAUGAGAGUUGGGGAUACCCGAAGCCUGUGGGCUAACUAUUUAUAGGAGCAGCAGUCGAAGGUAGAAUCAAUGAUUGGGGUGAAGUCGUAACAAGGUACC